rnacentral:snoRNA from 1 species
CAGACUGUACUUUCAGUGAUCAUUUCUAUAGUUUGUUACUAGGUAACAGGACCAUCUUUCUGCUGUGUAUUUUUCAUCCACUGAAGGCAC